GAUGAACGCUGGCGGCGUGCCUAACACAUGCAAGUCGAACGAAGCUUGACGGAUGAUUUCUUCGGAAUGAAACCAGAUAUGACUUAGUGGCGGACGGGUGAGUAACACGUGGGCAACCUGCCUUUCAGAGGGGGAUAACGGCUGGAAACGGUCGCUAAUACCGCAUGAUGUGUUCGGAUGGCAUCAUCUGAACAUCAAAGAUUUAUCGCUGAAAGAUGGGCUCGCGUCUGAUUAGAUAGUUGGUGGGGUAACGGCCUACCAAGUCUACGAUCAGUAGCCGGACUGAGAGGUUGAACGGCCACAUUGGGACUGAGAUACGGCCCAGACUCCUACGGGAGGCAGCAGUGGGGAAUAUUGCACAAUGGGGGAAACCCUGAUGCAGCAACGCCGCGUGAAGGAUGACGGUUUUCGGAUUGUAAACUUCUUUUCUUAGUGACGAAGACAGUGACGGUAGCUAAGGAAUAAGCAUCGGCUAACUACGUG
rnacentral:rRNA from 1 species